rnacentral:lncRNA from 10 species
CGCACCAUGUGGGGCAGAAAAGGCGGUUUCAGCGCCCCCUGCCAGUCACAGUGCACAGUGCAGGAUGAUUCACCUCAUGGUCAGCAUAAGCCCAGGUCAGCUCCCUUUUUUUUUUGGACAGGGUCUCACUCUGUCCCCCAGGAUGAAGUGCAGUGGUGCAAUCACAGUUCACUGCAGCCUCAACCUCCCGGACCCAAGUGAUCCUCCCAUCUCAGCUUUCAAGUACCUGCGAAUCUGGCUGCUCCACUGUUGGGUGCAUAUGUAUUCAGGAUAAGAUCUUGCAUCCCGAACAUACAAGUAAUUCCUGAGGAGUUGGCGGAGCCUCUGCCGACUCCAAGCUGAGCAUCCGAGAACUUCUGGCCCAACAGCACUCAUCAGGAAUCAGUGCAGUCUAUUUCUCCCUGGAAGCAGAGGGUCCGAAAAGUUCUGACUAGGCAAAGAGUGAGAGUGUGCAUAUCAAUUGAAGGCUAUUUGUGCUUUCAACAUGGACUUUUCAGUUCAAAAUUGGGCUAUGAGCACAGGACAGUGAAGACACAGAAAACUCUACAGCCUAAAUGGAGCAGAAAAUUUCAAGUUAUCCACCAAUCACUUACUGAUUGAAGCUAGAAAAUUACUAAAUAAAUUCCAUGUCCACUAAAGAAGAAAACAAGGCCACUUGUGGUGGCUACACAAACAGAAAGAUGCAAACUACCAUAUCACUAUGGAGACUAUGUUUAGAUAGUUCUUCAAAGGUACUCACUAACAAAUUAUUGUAAAACACUAAACAUCAUGUGUUCUA